UACAUGGGGUGCAAACGUUGCUCGGAAUUAUUGGGCGUAAAGCGCGCGUAGGCGGUUACUUAAGUCGGAUGGGAAAGCCCUCGGCUUAACUGAGGAAGUGCACCCGAAACUGAGUAGCUAGAGUACGAAAGAGGGUCGCGGAAUUCCCGGUGUAGAGGUGAAAUUCGUAGAUAUCGGGAGGAAUACCAGUGGCGAAGGCGGCUGCCUGGCCUGUUCUUGACGCUGAGGCGCGAAAGCUGGGGGAGCAAACGGG
rnacentral:rRNA from 1 species